UCUAUUUGCUGCGCGUUUCUCUAUUUGCUGCGCGUUUGUCUAUUUGCAGGGAGUUUCUCUAUUUGCUGCGCGUUUGUGUAAUGUGUUGUGUUGUGUUGUGAAAUUGAUGAAGAUGUUUUCUUACUUUGCUUGUGUUUUGUCAACUUGCAUGUGUUUUCUUAAGUUGCUGUUCGUUGAGCUCUCAGGGUCACCGUAUAAACCCCCCCAUACACACACACAACGAGGCAGUCACUGCAGAUUAGGCCGAGACUCUAGCUGCAAGUCCUAAUUUGCAGUGUGGAAAAUGACGCCAUUGUACGUAAGUAACUGUUUAGUAAUUGUGUCUUUUUGCUGUGGAUCUUCCAACGGUUAUGUAGUGAGGCUAUUUUCGUUUAUUAAUAAUAUACUUGUCACAGUUCUCUGUUCCUCCAGUGCCCCUCCUCCUCUCUUCUCUCUUUUUCCCCGCAGGUGCAGCUCGUUCCGUUAGAUGACCCGGCUCACCAGGCGCACCUGCACUCAUCAACUGCUACUUGUCACUACAGUGUUACCCCGUCAUCCUGCUCACCUGAUUCACCUUCCCGCUGACGAACUCCCGGAGCCAUCAGCUACCCCAUCAUCCUGCUCACCUGCUUCUCCAUUCCUGCUGAAGAACUCCCGGAGCCAUCAGCACUCCCUCGUCCUGCCCUCCUGCCUCUCCCCUGCGCUGAAGAACUCCCGGAGCCAUCAGCACCCCGUCUAUCCACCUUGUCCCACGUUAAAUAAACGUCAAUGAACGCACCACCUCAGUGCUCUGUGUUUUGCCUCCGCUCUGGGGUCCACCCGUCUCGUAUCGUAACAAUACUAAUGUUGUUUUUCAGCUGCCUGUACUAAGGCGUACUAUGAGUCUGUAUGACGGAACUUCCUGUACAUCCAACCGGACCUUGCAGCUCUUCGAGUAGCAUUGAUAAGUUCAGGAGUCGACAGAGAAGAAAGAGUGUAAGCCGAUUGAAGCGGGACAGAUGACAUGGAUCCAUCCUUCCACAGCCAUGAGUUCAUCGACCUGUGUGCCACACUUCAAAUAAGACUGGAAGCUACACUUGAAUUUGUUUUCUUUAUCUCUUCUAUACUUUUGUUUUUAGUAUGUUGCUGUAACUGAACAAUUUUCAUAUUAUUUUGCGACUUUCACAAUUCAUCUCUCUCGUUUGCAUUGUCCUGUGCUCUGUUACAUGUAAACUACUGGCAUGUUACUUCCUGAUCCCCAUAUUGUCCUCUUACUCUUUACAACCAGAGGGUGGUGCUACUGCACUCAGACAGAACUUAGAGGUUUGCAUCAUUUUGAAAGCUUUAAUAAUUUAAUGCUGUUCAUCAAGCUUUGACUGACUUCUGUGAUAGUGAAUGAAUAUAAAAAUAAAAGUGUUGAGAUAA